GACGAACGCUGGCGGCGUGCCUAAUACAUGCAAGUUGAGCGCUGAAGGUUGGUACUUGUACCAACUGGAUGAGCAGCGAACGGGUGAGUAACGCGUGGGGAAUCUGCCUUUGAGCGGGGGACAACAUUUGGAAACGAAUGCUAAUACCGCAUAAAAACUUUAAACACAAGGUUUAAGUUUGAAAGAUGCAAUUGCAUCACUCAAAGAUGAUCCCGCGUUGUAUUAGCUAGUUGGUGAGGUAAAGGCUCACCAAGGCGAUGAUACAUAGCCGACCUGAGAGGGUGAUCGGCCACAUUGGGACUGAGACACGGCCCAAACUCCCACGGGAGGCAGCAGUAGGGAAUCUUCGGCAAUGGACGAAAGUCUGACCGAGCAACGCCGCGUGAGUGAAGAAGGUUUUCGGAUCGUAAAACUCUGUUGGUAGGGAAGAACGUUGGUGAGAGUGGAAAGCUCAUCAAGUGACGGUAACUACCCAGAAAGGGACGGCUAACUACGUG
rnacentral:rRNA from 1 species